GAUGAACGCUGACAGAAUGCUUAACACAUGCAAGUCUUUGGCGAAGCUGUGCUCGCCCAGCCUAGCCAAGGCGGACGGGUGAGUAACGCGUAAGGAACUUGCCCUGCAGUCAGGGAUAACAGACGGAAACGACUGAUAAGACCUGGUAAAGUCAGGCGGACUCAUGUCCAGCCUGAUGAAAAGAGAUGCUGCAGGAGAGCCUUGCGUCCUAUUAGCUUGUUGGUGGGGUAACGGCCCACCAAGGCGAUGAUAGGUAGCCGGCCUGAGAGGGUGGACGGCCACAAGGGGACUGAGAUACGGCCCUUACUCCUACGGGAGGCAGCAGUGGGGAAUAUUGGACAAUGGGGGCAACCCUGAUCCAGCAAUUCUGCGUGCACGAUGAAGGUUUUCGGAUUGUAAAGUGCUUUCAGCAGGGAAGAAAAAAAUGACGGUACCUGCAGAAGAAGCGACGGCUAAAUACGUG
rnacentral:rRNA from 1 species